GACUCAGGAGCCUCAGGACCACAACGAGGAAGCUGUGUGUUUAGUGAGUCCUGCAGCUUCCUUCACAUGGCACAGCAUUUGGAAUUGAGGGUCCACCCUGAAGCAGUUUACUGUGGAUCCUCUGCUGAUGCUCGGCGACCAUGAGUUACAUUUUAAGAAGAGCUCCUACAUUCGGUCAGCACAGUUGCCUGACAGCUCUGGGAUAUCAGGCAGAUCUAUGUCUACUUUCCAGGGCAGUGGUUCUUGGACUUUUAACUGCAUGGUAGAAUCUCGUGGAUUUAGAACUCCUCCAUCUCAGGCUAAACUCCAGACCAAAGUCAUUAAACCUACAAGACAGGAUCCAGGCCUCUGAGCUUUGUGACGCUCCCUGGUGAUUCCAAUGUACCAUCAAGGCCAAGGCCUUCCUUCGGUCCUAGGGCAUCUGGAGAAAGCACAGAUUCUAACAUCUGUAGGGAUCAUCAGUGGCUUUCUCUGCAGACAGAACUCUUCAUUUCCUAUGGUUAGGGCUAUAUGCAUGGUUUAGAAGGCAUUUCUUAUGAAAAUGUGUUCCAGAGAGAGAGUCUGAACAUUUCUUUAGAGUGUUCAGCCACACUGUCGGAGCUCCAGCCCAGUCCACUGUUAUUCGAAUGAAUUGCCGCUGGUAUUUAAGCCUUCAUCCAUAGACUCAUGCCAGUGUGUUCUGCCCCUGCCUGGCCUUGAAAUACACAACACCAGCACUUCCUUUUGUCUGUAUCAAGAUGAUCUACAAAAUUUAUCAGUCUUCAGCUCUUUUUUGUCUUCCCAAGAGCCAGUAACAGAUCUCCAGUGAGCUGAAACAGGCAACACUGUAUGAAACAACAAAGAGAAACCAGACUGAGAGGAAACACCUGGACAGCAGCUGUCUGGUAAAGGACUUGUACCCAGGGGAUCUGAGGAACGCUGGCUCACAAGAGGACAAACUCUCAGUAAAAAGUGGACAGAAGAUUGGAACAGAUUCUUCAUCAAAGACAACAUUUGUAUGGCAACACCCACUUUUUGCCAUGAUACUUCCAUUUACUGUAUGCCCAGAAACAACGGAACCAAAGGAUCACAGAUUGGAACAUCAAAAUUUGUGAUCUAAUAAAAAAACAAAACACACCAACAA
rnacentral:lncRNA from 1 species